CCACAUUAGGAUUGGAAACAGAAUGCACCACCAUGAACAUCACCAUCUGCAAGCCCCUAACAAAGAUGAUAUCUUGAAAAUUUCAGAGACUGAACGCAUGGAGCUUAGUAAGAGUUUCCAGGUCACACUGUAAAAUCUGGAGACCUUGAAUAUGUGAGUGUGGAUGGAGGAAUUGUCUUAAGCAUAGAAUCAAUGAAAAGACUCAAUGGCCUUCUCAGUGUUCCUGAAAAGUGUCCUGAACAAGGAGGAAUGAUUUGGAAGAUAUCUGAAGAUAAGCAGCUAGCAGUCUGCCUGAAAUAUGCUGGAGUAUUUGCAGAAAAUGCAGAAGACGCCGAUGGAAAAGAUGUGUUUAAUACCAAAUCUGUUGGGCUUUUCAUUAAAGAGGCAAUGACUAACCAACC
rnacentral:lncRNA from 1 species